rnacentral:rRNA from 1 species
UGCAGUCGAACGGUCUAAUGCUUAACACUGAGUAUUCAGUAAAGUUGGAACAGCGAGAGCGCGAAGUAUGAGCGCUCCACGCAUUAAAUAAGUGCCAACACAAUUAGGAGACUGAAUGUUGAGUGUUAAGUAUUAGAUAGUGGCGGACGGGUGAGCAACGCGUGGGUAACCUACCCAUAAACCCGGGACAACCCUUGGAAACGAGGGCUAAUACCGAAUAAUCUUUGAGAGUGGCAUCACUCUUUAAGGAAAGGUGGCCUCUGAAAAUGCUACCGAUUAUGGAUGGACCCGCGUCUGAUUAGCUAGUUGGUGGGGUAAAGGCCUACCAAGGCGACGAUCAGUAGCCGGCCUGAGAGGGUGAACGGCCACACUGGGACUGAGACACGGCCCAGACUCCUACGGGAGGCAGCAGUGGGGAAUCUUCCGCAAUGGACGAAAGUCUGACGGAGCAACGCCGCGUGUAUGAUGAAGGUCUUCGGAUUGUAAAGUACUGUCUUUGGGGAAGAAUGACUGAUUUGAAAAUAUUGAGUCAGUAUGACGGUACCUAAGGAGGAAGCCCCGGCUAACUACGUGCCAGCAGCCGCGGUAAUACGUAGGGGGCAAGCGUUGUCCGGAAUUAUUGGGCGUAAAGGGCGCGUAGGCGGAUAGUUAAGUCCGGUGUGAAAGAUCAGGGCUCAACCCUGAGAGUGCAUCGGAAACUGGUUAUCUUGAGGACAGGAGAGGAGAGUGGAAUUCCUAGUGUAGCGGUGAAAUGCGUAGAUAUUAGGAGGAACACCAGUGGCGAAGGCGACUUUCUGGACUGUAACUGACGCUGAGGCGCGAAAGCGUGGGGAGCAAACAGGAUUAGAUACCCUGGGUAGUCCACGCUGUAAACGGUGAGUGCUAGGUGUAGAGGGUAUC